GGAGAGGUGUCCGAGUGGCUGAAGGAGCACGCUUGGAAAGCGUGUGUGGGUUUACGCUCACCCCGGGUUCGAAUCCCGGUCUCUCCG
rnacentral:tRNA from 1 species